CCUACGGGAGGCAGCAGUGGGGAAUAUUGCACAAUGGGCGAAAGCCUGAUGCAGCGACGCCGCGUGAGGGAUGACGGCCUUCGGGUUGUAAACCUCUUUCAGCAGGGAAGAAGCGAAAGUGACGGUACCUGCAGAAGAAGCGCCGGCUAACUACGUGCCAGCAGCCGCGGUAAUACGUAGGGCGCAAGCGUUGUCCGGAAUUAUUGGGCGUAAAGAGCUCGUAGGCGGCUUGUCACGUCGGGUGUGAAAGCCCGGGGCUUAACCCCGGGUCUGCAUUCGAUACGGGCUAGCUAGAGUGUGGUAGGGGAGAUCGGAAUUCCUGGUGUAGCGGUGAAAUGCGCAGAUAUCAGGAGGAACACCGGUGGCGAAGGCGGAUCUCUGGGCCAUUACUGACGCUGAGGAGCGAAAGCGUGGGGAGCGAACAGGAUUAGAUACCCUGGUAGUCCACGCCGUAAACGGUGGGAACUAGGUGUUGGCGACAUUCCACGUCGUCGGUGCCGCAGCUAACGCAUUAAGUUCCCCGCCUGGGGAGUACGGCCGCAAGGCUAAAACUCAAAGGAAUUGACGG
rnacentral:rRNA from 2 species